rnacentral:rRNA from 1 species
ACGAACGCUGGCGGCGUGCUUAACACAUGCAAGUCGAACGGAAAGGCCUGCUUUCCCUUGUGGAUUGCGGGUACUCGAGUGGCGAACGGGUGAGUAACACGUGAGUGAUCUGCCCCCAACUUGGGUAUAAGCCUGGGAAACUGGGUCUAAUUCCCGAUAGGACUGCAGGGUGGUGCCUGUGGUGGAAAACGAUUUUCUAGUGGUUGGGGAUGAGCUCGCGGCCUAUCAGCUUGUUGGUGGGGUAAUGGCCUACCAAGGCGGCGACGGGUAGCCGGCCUGAGAGGGUGGACGGCCACAUUGGGACUGAGAUACGGCCCAGACUCCUACGGGGGGCAGCAGUGGGGAAUAUUGCACAAUGGGCGGAAGCCUGAUGCAGCGACGCCGCGUGGGGGAUGACGGCCUUCGGGUUGUAAACUCCUUUCGACCGCGAGGAAGCCACCUGGUUGGAAGGGUGGUGACGGUAGUGGUAGAAGAAGCACCGGCUAACUACGUG